AUUGAACGCUGGCGGCAGGCUUAACACAUGCAAGUCGAGCGGAGAUGAGGUGCUUGCACCUUGUCUUAGCGGCGGACGGGUGAGUAAUGCUUAGGAAUCUGCCUAUUAGUGGGGGACAACAUUCCGAAAGGAAUGCUAAUACCGCAUACGUCCUACGGGAGAAAGCAGGGGAUCUGCGGACCUUGCGCUAAUAGAUGAGUCUAAGUCGGAUUAGCUAGUUGGUGGGGUAAAGGCCUACCAAGGCGACGAUCUGUAGCGGGUCUGAGAGGAUGAUCCGCCACACUGGGACUGAGACACGGCCCAGACUCCUACGGGAGGCAGCAGUGGGGAAUAUUGGACAAUGGGGGGAACCCUGAUCCAGCCAUGCCGCGUGUGUGAAGAAGGCCUUAUGGUUGUAAAGCACUUUAAGCGAGGAGGAGGCUACUGAGAUUAAUACUCUUGGAUAGUGGACGUUACUCGCAGAAUAAGCACCGGCUAACUCUGUGCCAGCAGCCGCGGUAACAC
rnacentral:rRNA from 1 species